AGAGAGAAAAUAGUUAAGAUGAAAUUCUUGACGAAAAUACAAAUGUGUCCUUUUUUAAGAAUUCAUCGGAUUUGAGUUAAAUCUGAGUUGAUGGAACACAAAAUUGUUGCUCAUAUGGUAUAUGCCAGAUCUUUUGUGAUCACUAAGAGCACAAUUUACGGAAUAUCUUCUUUAGCUUGGGCCUGCAGGCUGCAGCGAUUGUAUUUGUAUCGCGUCUAAGCAGCUUUAUUUGCUCUAUGCUCGGAUUUCAUUUGACCGCUUAACGCUGGAUAUGGCUCUUUAAGCUUUCACCUCCUUUGUGAAUGACAGCACCAAGUGUCUAUUAUAGUAAGAUGAUGAGCAGGAAGUGUUUGUACGCUAGCUGUCCUCUUAUGAGCUUCAAAGAUUGAUCUAGUGCAUGAUCUAGUGCAAAGUGACUUAUCAAUGACAAUGUGCAAAGUGACUUCGUUUCAAAGGGGCGGGGGCAGAGGGAGUGGCAUCAUGAAAAGUUCGAAGAUGAUCAAACACAUUUCAAAUCACCAGGACAAGCACAAUCCAAACCUUGAAAGACCAUCCAAGGGCGAAGAAUCCAGGAAUGGAAUAGGAGUCUUGCAGCUGGCACUUCAAAGCUGGGAAACAGAAACGUCCACCUUAAUGUUGACUUGGAAGAGAACCUGGAGUACUUAAAGGCCAUGCCAAAUCCUUCUGCCGCUACUUAAAGUGGCUAACAUCAGCUAACAUCGCCUCUGAAGUGAUGCAUGAAAAAUACCCUGUCCCUCCUAGUAAUACUAAUACAGACUACUCCCUGCUAAAAAAUCAUCGCAGCCGCAACUCCAAAUAGGCAAAAUGCAAUUCAAAAGAAUUGAGAAACAAAAACCAUCUAAAUCAAUAUCAUUCUUCUUAUUAGAUACACUCUCUAUAUGCACAACACUCAAUCUACCGAUAUUUGGACUAAGUAGUUGAUCGUCUAUUAUGGCUAAUUUCAUCAUAUUUAAGUUCAAUAACUCUGUAUGCCAUCCACUGCCCACCUACUGGGAUGCCUG
rnacentral:lncRNA from 1 species